GUGACUUUCUCAUUACUAGAGUUGCAUUUUGAGACAACUCUUCAAAGUACUACAUAAAUGACCGUGGAAGUAAUUUUACAAAGGUCACUAAGAAAUUGAAAGGAAAAGGAGUAGACUUGGACAACAAUUGGUUUUUGAUUCUUCAGGGUGAAGUCGAGCAAAUUUCUCUAAUGAAGUCAAAGAUUUGUAUUUUCAGCAUUAUUGUAAUUGAUUGAAUGAAGGAUUGUAAUUGUAAUUGAUUGAAUGAAGGAUUGUAAUUGAUUGUAAUUGUAAUUGAUUGAA